UGCCAGCAGCCGCGGUAAGACAGAGGGUGCAAACGUUGCUCGGAAUCACUGGGCGUAAAGCGCGUGUAGGCGGGUCGGCAAGUCAGGUGUGAAAUCCCUGGGCUCAACCCAGGAACUGCAUCUGAAACUGCCAGCCUUGAGUGUCGGAGAGGGAAGCGGAAUUCCUGGUGUAGAGGUGAAAUUCGUAGAUAUCAGGAGGAACACCUGUGGCGAAGGCGGCUUCCUGGACGACUACUGACGCUGAGACGCGAAAGCGUGGGGAGCAAACAGGAUUAGAUA
rnacentral:rRNA from 1 species